rnacentral:rRNA from 1 species
UACGAAGGGGGCUAGCGUUGCUCGGAAUCACUGGGCGUAAAGCGCACGUAGGCGGCUCGAAAAGUCGGAUGUGAAAGCCCUGGGCUCAACCUAGGAAGUGCAUUCGAAACUGCCGAGCUUGAGUACGGGAGAGGGUUGCGGAAUUCCCGGUGUAGAGGUGAAAUUCGUAGAUAUCGGGAGGAACACCAGUGGCGAAGGCGGCAGCCUGGACCGAUACUGACGCUGAGGUGCGAAAGCGUGGGGAGCAAACAGG